GCGCCCGUAGCUCAGCAGGAUAGAGCAACAGUUUCCUAAACUGUGUGUCGUACGUUCGAAUCGUAUCGGGCGCGCCA
rnacentral:tRNA from 1 species